rnacentral:rRNA from 1 species
UACGUAGGGUGCAAGCGUUGUCCGGAAUUAUUGGGCGUAAAGAGCUCGUAGGCGGUCUGUCGCGUCGGCUGUGAAAACCCGGGGCUCAACCCUGGGCCUGCAUUCGAUACGGGCAGACUAGAGUUCGAUAGGGGAGACUGGAAUUCCUGGUGUAGCGGUGAAAUGCGCAGAUAUCAGGAGGAACACCGGUGGCGAAGGCGGGUCUCUGGGCCGAAACUGACGCUGAGGAGCGAAAGCGUGGGGAGCAAACAGG